rnacentral:rRNA from 1 species
CAAAGGGAUUCCCGCUUUAAGAGGACGAUAAAUAUUGACGAGAUAGGUAGUAGUGAAGGUUAUGUCUUCACUAGCCUUAACUCUCGUAGUCGAAGCUGAAAGGUUAAUCGACCACAUUGGGUCUGAAAAAAACCCAAUGCAAGUUAGUACAGCAGUGAGGAAUCUUGGUCAAUGGCCUAACGGCUGAACUGGCAACUUGGAGAAGUGGCAAGUCUUAUUUUGAUUAUAUUAUUAUAUAUAAUCUAUAAGAUUGUAUUAAAAUUGAAUAAAGCUUUGUUUAUAUAUUGAUAAUGACGGUAUAUAUAUCGUGUCUUGGCUAAUUACGUGCCAGCAGCCGCGGUAAUACGUAAGAGACUAGUGUUAUUCAUCUUAAUUAGGUUUAAAGGGUACUCAAACGGUCAAUUAAAAGACUAGAGUUAUAUAGAAGAAGGUAGUACCUUAAGUGUAGAGAUUAUAUUUGGUUACUCUAUGUAAAAACUGACGUUGAAGAACGAAGGCACAGAGCACAAACAGGAUUAGAUACCCAAGUAGUCUUUGCAGUAAAUGAUGAAUGCCAUAGGUUAGAUUAAGCUUUAAUAUAUUAGUUUAUCAGUAGUAAACUAACUAUUCAACAAUAUUUAGUCUAUAAAUGAAAGUGUAAGCAUUCCACCUCAAGAGUAAUGCGGCAACGCAGGAACUGAAAUCACUAGACCGUUUCUGACACCAGUAGUGAAGUAUGUUGUUUAAUUCGAUGAUCCACGAAAAACCUUACCACAAUUUGUAUAUUUUACAGGAGUUGCACGGCUGUCUGCAGUUGAUGUUGUGAAACUAUGGUUUCCAUGAAUUAACACAAUCCCUUGCUUUAUUUUUGUAUUAUAAGCUUUGCUUAUUAAUUACUAUAAAGCAUUUAACUCAAGAAUAUGGGAAGAAAAAAGGGAGUAAGACNNNNNNNNNNNNNNNNNNNNNNNNNNNNNNNNNNNNNNNNNNNNNUAGACGUGCCACAUAAGCCUAUACAAAGAGAUGCAAAAAUGUGAAUUCUAGCAAAUCUCCAAAAUAGGAAAUAAAAAGGAUUGUAGUCUGAAAUUCGACUAUAUGAAUAAGUAAUUACUAGUAAUCGUGAAUCACCAUGUCACGGUGAAUGUAUCUCGGAUUGGUACUAACCACUCGUCGCAUGCUGAAAGGAGUUUAUACAAUAAGUUUGCUCUUUUAUAGUAACAAAAUAAAAUAAUUAGAUUUUAUAAAUAUUAUUAUAGAAUUCUUCGUAUGUAUAGCUCUAAUUAGUGUUAAGUCGAAAUACGGUUCGCGUAGUGGAAGUUGCGCGGGAAUAAUUAAUUUU